AACGAACGCUGGCGGCAUGCCUAACACAUGCAAGUCGAACGAGAUCUUCGGGUCUAGUGGCGCACGGGUGCGUAACGCGUGGGAAUCUGCCCUUUGGUCCGGAAUAACAGUUGGAAACGACUGCUAAUACCGGAUGAUGACGAAAGUCCAAAGAUUUAUCGCCAGAGGAUGAGCCCGCGUAGGAUUAGCUAGUUGGUGUGGUAAAGGCGCACCAAGGCAACGAUCCUUAGCUGGUCUGAGAGGAUGAUCAGCCACACUGGGACUGAGACACGGCACAGAAUCCUACGGGAGGCAGCAGUGGGGAAUAUUGGACAAUGGGCGAAAGCCUGAUCCAGCAAUGCCGCGUGAGUGAUGAAGGCCUUAGGGUUGUAAAGCUCUUUUACCCGGGAUGAUAAUGACAGUACCGGGAGAAUAAGCUCCGGCUAACUCCGUGCCAGCCGCCGCUGUAA
rnacentral:rRNA from 1 species